rnacentral:rRNA from 1 species
GGACUACACGGGUAUCUAAUCCUGUUUGCUCCCCUAGCUUUCGUCCCUCAGCGUCAGUUGCGGUCCAGCGAGCCGCCUUCGCCACGGGUGUUCCUGCAGAUAUCUACGCAUUUCACCGCUACACCUGCAAUUCCACUCGCCUCUCCCGCACUCGAGCACGGCAGUUUCGGAAGCAGCCUCACAGUUAAGCCGUGAGAUUUCACCCCCGACUUGCCGCACCGCCUACGGACCCUUUACGCCCAGUAAUUCCGAGCAACGCUGGCCCCCUACGUUUUACCGCGGCUGCUGGCAC